rnacentral:rRNA from 1 species
UACAGAGGUCUCAAGCGUUGUUCGGAUUCAUUGGGCGUAAAGGGUGCAUAGGUGGCGAGGCAAGUCGGAUGUGAAAUCCCGGGGCUCAACCCCGGAACUGCAUUCGAUACUGCCUUGCUAGAGUACUGGAGAGGAGAUUGGAAUUUACGGUGUAGCAGUGAAAUGCGUAGAUAUCGUAAGGAAGACCAGUGGCGAAGGCGGAUCUCUGGACAGUUACUGACACUGAGGCACGAAGGCCAGGGGAGCAAACGGG